CGAGUCGACCGGGCGGUCGCGUCGGCGGGCCCCGGCCCGCCGCCGAGGAACGUCCGGACUCCACAGGGCAGGGUGGUUGCUAACGGCAACCCGGGGCGACCCGCGGGACAGUGCCACAGAAAACAGACCGCCGGCCCCAUCGGGGACGGUAAGGGUGAAACGGUGGGGUAAGAGCCCACCAGCACCCCGGGUGACCGGGGUGGCUCGGUAAACCCCACCCGGAGCAAGGCCAAGAAAGGGUCGCCGACCGGCAGGACGACGACCCGCGCAGACGCUCGAGGGCUGCCCGUCCGAUGUCUGCGGGUAGGCCGCUGGAGCCUGUCGGCAACGGCAGGCCGAGAUGGAUGACCGCCGCCGGCGCCGCCCCCCGGGGCGCGCCGCGCACAGAAUCCGGCGUACAGGUCGACUCGUCCG
rnacentral:RNase_P_RNA from 1 species